rnacentral:rRNA from 1 species
GAUGAACGCUGGCGGCGUGCUUAACACAUGCAAGUCGAACGGUGAGACGCCUUCCUUUCUCGUCUGUGGGGAGGAGUGGCGAGGUGAGGAGCAACAGGUGAAUAACCUGCUACGACCUUCAGGAUAACCGCAUGAAAGUGUUGCUAAUACGUGAUAUUCUGGGUCUCUCGCUUGAUGAGUCUGGGACGGAUUUGGUUUCGGUGGGGGAUGGGCUCGCGGCGUAUUAGCUUGUUGGUGGGGUAAUGGCUUACCAAGGCGGCGAUGCGUAGCCGGCCUGAGAGGAGGAUCGGCGACAAUAGAACUGAGAAACGGCCCAGACGCCUACGGGGGGCAGCAGUAGGGAAUAUUCUGCAAUGAGGGAAGGCAGGCUGAAGCAGCGACGCGUGGGGGAUGAAGGUCGUCGUAGCGUAGAGCUCUGUUAUUAGGAAAGAACAAGUGUGUCAUCAACUAUGCGCGGCUUGACGGUACCUGGAUAAGAAGCGACGGCUAACUACGUG